UGCGGUUCAGCUUUAGGACCCGGGGAAGCAGAGCGCAGUGACAGCGCGUGGAAAGGUCGGUAUGCUUUACCGCGCACGCACCGCAGCAGCAGCGCGUGAGAACGCGCAUAAAGACACUAUCCAUCGGUUCACUCCGGUGCCUGCCUCGCUUUUUUUUCUGUGUGGUUGAACUGCCAUAGACUAAAGCUCACCUUCGUUUCCCCGCGCAUCUAAAUUUCCAGGUGCUGACCAUCCAUUGGAAAGUUACGCACGGUUUAUUGGAGAGAUGGAAGAGUAGUUUGACUUCUGUUCUUGGAAUUAUCAAGCAUCGUCUGUGAUCAGGAAAGUGGAUUGAUCUCGGAGACAUUUAGGGAUGCCAGCUCUGUAAGAAUCAUGCAGGUCACAUGGUCAGGUACCACAGUCCUCAUCAUUUUCACCUGGCUGCAGUUUGUCCAGUCGGAGCUGUCGGAGGGUCCUUUGGUUCCAGACACGGGGACUCAGGAGGGGACUAGCAAUAGGGCCACAGAGGCCCCCACUGCAGAACACGAUGACGACAACUCUCUGGGCUAUACAGGUACUGCUUCUUGUUUCUUACCUAAAAAUACUGCUUUGUGUUUACCAUGGAAGAGCUUUUCUCAAAUAUCUUAUUUACUUUACAUAAUUUAUUUAUUACUUUAUAACAUAUUUGCUCUAUUGUAGGAUACUUCCAUGAACUUUUGACAUUUUUGUAAGAUAAAUGAGGGGUUGCCUGGUGAAAACAUGACGUUUUUAUGUAGAUAUGAUCCGUUUCUGACCCAAUCAUUGCAGGUUCUUGUGUAGAGUCUCUUAUACCGCUUGGGUUUCCAUGAACUUUGCACAACCUUCACCUUAAGUCUGUCGGUGCAUCUGUAUUGAGAGACAUUUUCCCAUUUAUAAUCUGUUUAUAUUCUUUACAAAUGUUACUUAAGUCAAGCUGUGGAAAUUGGACACCCUUUCUAUGUUAUUUUCGGGAGACAAGCCUGGAACGUUCUGAUGCUUAUAACACAAAGGUGUAGAGUCAGCCAGAACCUCAAUUUCCAGAUUAAAUGCACUCAGAUGAGAUGAGUCAAUCGGUUAGAGAAGAUCCCUGACCCUUUUUGCUUAAGUGGAAAUAGAGUUCACCUUCUAGGGGCCCUGGGGGCCAGAGCAGAGAAUCUCCUGCAGUGUGUGUGGUGUUAUGUUUGGAGAA